ncrna:unclassified sequences L19-Flavobacteria ribosomal protein leader
CAACCACUGACGAUACUCGUGUAUGUUG